rnacentral:rRNA from 1 species
CCUACGGGAGGCUGCAGUCGUGAAUUUUCCGCAAUGGGCGCAAGCCUGACGGAGCGACACCGCGUGCAGGAUGAAGGCCUUCGGGUUGUAAACUGCUGUCAGGUUCUAGGAACAAAUUGGCGUGAAUAGCGCCAAUCCUGACCAAGACCAAAGGAAGCAGCGGCUAACUCUGUGCCAGCAGCCGCGGUAAGACAGAGGUUGCAAACGUUGUUCGGAAUCACUGGGCAUAAAGCGCACGUAGGUGGUCCACUAAGUCGAAUGUGAAAUUCCCCGGCUCAACCGGGGAACUGCACUCGAUACUGGUGGGCUUGAGGUCCGGAGGGGUGAGUGGAACUCCUGGUGGAGCGGUGAAAUGCGUAGAUAUCAGGAGGAACACCGGUGGCGAAAGCGGCUCACUGGCCGGAAUCUGACACUGAGGUGCGAAAGCUAGGGUAGCAAACGGGAUUAGAUACCCUGGUAGUC